GCCUGGAUAGCUCAAUUGGUAGAGCAUCAGACUUUUAAUCUGAGGGUUCAGGGUUCAAGUCCCUGUUCAGGCA
rnacentral:tRNA from 2 species